GGGGGAAUAGCUCAAUGGUAGAGCGUUGGUCUGUCUAACCAAAAGUUGCGAGUUCGAAUCUCGUUUCUCUCG
rnacentral:tRNA from 1 species